AUGAAUGAGAAUGUUGCAGCUGACAAGUUAGAUCAAGAGAAACAUAAAGCUAAGGCUAUUGAUAUAUUCAACACUCAUCAUCCACUCCUCUCUCAGUCUCUCUCUGAUCCUCUCAGUGUAGCUUCAAAGAGAGGGUGUCAUAACAGGACAAGUAUUGGCUAGUGUGGUAUCAGCUAGUCCCUCUGUUCCUAAUCAACGUGAAGUCCUGUUAGCUGGCAUUAUAGUAGCUAUUGAAAGCAAGUAUAGUUUACUACAAACAUUUGCUAGUGUGUUGUGCAAGUUCACUGGUAAUGUAAAACUAGGAACAGUUAUACAAAGAGACUAUGAUGUGCAUUUUCCCUCUAAUAACAAAUUUUGUUAUAUUAAUAUUGAAGAAGAGUCAUCAAGCACUGGAGCAACCAUUGUAUCCACAUCAUCUUGCACUCCAACUGCACCAACAGUUGAAAUUCCUGUCUCAAAGAGUAAAUCAAGAGAAUUCAGUUCAAUGAGAGCUUCUCUUGGAAGGAUGCUGUAUAAAGUACACAAAGCUAUCACACAGAAAUCUCCACCUCUGAUUGACCUAAAGAGUCUCAUUUGCCUUUUUAAUUCUGAUCUAAAAGGAAAGCUAGCUGAGUGCAAUGAUAUAUCGAGUGUAGUGCAUGUG